GGUCUUAAAAAUAUCGGCGGUUUCGAAGAACGAACUUAUAUGUCGCACAUAGGACACCGGUCAUGUGUUUCAAGUGUCCACCACACCAAGGAGGUUGAGAUGGUUUACGUUUUACGGGCUUUAAACGCAUAAACGAUCCUGCUUCUUUAAAAAUUGAAGAUGAAAUUAUUCUCGGUUUGAUAAAUACGGUAUAGUAUGGUUUAAUACGUGUUAUUUAGAAGAGAGAUUAUGGUAAUGGUUUAGCGCGAAUAAUGCACGGGUUUUGUGUGCAUGUUUUAGCGCGAAAGCGCACGAGUUUUUCGUUUUGGGGUAUAUAUGAUUUGCACAUCUAUUGAGUCGCCAUUCGAGGGUGUAUUUGACAGGCAAACGUUAUGGAACAAGAAAACGAAAGGGUGAUAACCCCGCCAACCCGCCCUUAAUGAACAUAUGUAUGGUUAAAUAAUUGUUUACAUUGCUUUUACGUUUAUAAUUUUGCAAUUAUAAAGUCUAUAUUUAGUAUAUUUUCAGUUCGGUUUUUAGUCCAUGUGAGAUGGGAUCUUAACACGAACCGAUUCCUUUACUGGGAAGACGAUUGGUGUAUUUUCAUUUAAAGGGAUCUUUUCACGCUUUGGUAAAUUGACAAAAUUGAAAAAAGUUGUUUCAGAUUCGUAAGUUUUCGUUUUAGUUAUGAUAUUUGUGAGGAAACAGUAAUACUGAACAUUAACCAUGCUCUAAUAUAGCCAUUAUAUGCAUCUUUUGACGAUUUUAAAACCUAAAAAUUAUAAAGCGUUGCAACGCGAAACGAUUGAAUAAUUUGGAGAGUUCUGUUUUUGUCGUUAAAUUUUGUGAAACUACGAAGAUUGCUUAUAAAAGGUAUAAAAUACGUCGAAAAUCUGUACUCGGCGGAAUAGCUCAGUAGGCUAAAGCGUUUUUACUUCAGGACUCUGGCAGGACUCCAGGGGUCACUGGUUCGAAACCUGCUCCGGGCAAUGUUCUUUUCCUUUUUUUAAUUUUUUUCUUGAUUUUUUACUGGAGCUUUUAUGAUCCAAUGUUUACAUUUAUCAAUAUAAAGCAUUUAAUGAAUAAGUUAAAAAAAUGCCAAAAUCUGUGAAAAGGCCCCUUUAAGUCUGAAGCAGCUAAGUUUUCUUGAUUAUUUUAACUCGUUAUUUACUUAAUAUUGUGUUUGAAUGAGGUUUUUUAAUUUAUGGGUGUCAUGUUUUUCGAGACUCUCACUUCCUGGAGAUCGUACCUCCAGCAUAUUUAUUGAAAUAUUGGUAUGUUUAAAUGUUAGUGUUAUUAUUUUUUGUUGUCUUUCGUAAUGAACGUUUAAUUUUAAAGACAUUCUUAUUGUACGAUUACUUAAUAUUUUCAUUUUGGUGUGACUGGUUAGAUGUUGAAGUCGGUUUAAUAUAGCUGUUA